rnacentral:misc_RNA from 1 species
AAACAAGCAAGAAAAUCUCAGUUGUUUGUUGAUAAAUAUGAUGAGAUGCUAAGGUUGAAAUUGUUUUCUUUCUUGAAUGAGUUUGAGAAUGGUGGUGUUCCUGACUAUGCUCAGUUGUACUCUUUUUUUGUGGAAAAAUUGGGGAUUUGUAAUCCUAGGAGUUGCAGAGUUGAGAUUGAGUUUUUGGAGGAGCAGAUUGUGAACCAUGAAGGAGAUAUUGAGCCCACAUCCUCAGUUCUCAACGGGUUUGUGGCGUUGAUGCGAUACUGCAGGUUUUUGCUAUUUGGCUUUGAAGAGGAUGAUAUGGGGUUGAGAUUGGGUAAGCAUAAGAAGCCGAAGAGAGGGCUGAUUAGUCAAGAGAUUGCAGAGACAUUCAUUUCUGUACCAAAGGACUUCUGUUGUCCGAUAUCGUUGGAUUUGAUGAGGGAUCCAGUUAUUGUGGCAACAGGGCAGACAUAUGAUCGAGCUUCUAUAUCGAGGUGGAUGGAGGAGGGUCACUGUACUUGCCCAAAGACAGGGCAGUUGCUUGAUCAUACCCGGCUUGUGCCAAACAGGGCUCUUAGGAAUUUGAUUAUGCAUUGGUGUGCUGCUCGCAAAAUUCCCUAUGACCCUCUGGAGAGUGGGGAUCCAUGUGUUGAAUGUUUUCCAUCAGCUUCACCUAGCAGGGCUGCACUAGAAGCUAAUAAAGCCACAGCAGCUCUUCUGAUUAAGCAGCUAGAGAGUGGGACGCAGAUUGCAAAAACUAUUGCUGCUCAGGAGAUAAGACUUUUAGCUAAAACUGGUAAGGAGAAUCGUGCAUACAUAGCUGAGGCUGGUGCAAUCCCACAUUUGAAGAAUUUGCUUUCAUCUCCAGAUGCUGUGGCACAAGAAAAUUCCGUCACUGCAAUGCUUAACUUAUCGAUUUUUGAUAAGAAUAAAGGCCGAAUUAUUGAUGAAGUAGGGUGUCUGGCUUUGAUAGUUGGAGUUUUGAGAUUUGGGCACACCACAGAGGCACGGGAAAAUGCUGCAGCAACAUUAUUCAGUCUGUCAGCUGUUCAUGACUAUAAGAGGCAAAUAGCAAAAGAAGAUGGGGCAGUCGAGGCCUUAGCGGGUCUGUUGCGAGAAGGUUCUCCCAGAGGGAAGAAAGAUGCAGUAACUGCUCUAUUUAAUUUAUCCACCCACACAGAUAAUUGUGCGAGGAUGAUAGAGUCUGGAGCUGUUACUGCUCUAGUUGGAGCUUUGGGAAGUGAAGGUGUUGCUGAAGAAGCUGCUGGUGCAUUGGCGCUGAUUGUUAGGCAGCAAGUUGGUGCUACAGCUGUUGGCAAUGAGGAAAUGGCAGUAGCAGGGCUCAUUGCAAUGAUGCGAUGUGGGACACCAAGAGGGAAGGAGAAUGCUGUUGCUGCAUUACUUGAAUUAUGCCGCGGUGGUGGAGCAGCUGCUACUGAGAGGGUCUUGAAGGCGCCGUCAUUAGCAAGUUUACUUCAGACGUUGCUCUUUACAGGAACAAAGCGCGCAAGGAGGAAAGCAGCAUCGCUUGCUAGAGUAUUCCAACGGUGUGAGCAUGCAGCAGUUCAUUAUAGUGGGUUUGGUGUAGGAUAUGCAUUUGCUGGAAACUCAGCUGCUGCUAGGGAUUCAACUUUUCCUGGUGAUGUCUCAGUGUCCAUGUCCAUUUCAGUUCCAGUAUUAUAGGGGUACUUACCACCAUUCAUCUUUUGUUCUUAGUUUUACUUGUAAUAUUCAAAAAUUCUUUCAUUGAAAUAUAAACGCGACAAAGAAAGAGAGAAAUCAUAGGAAUACCACAAAAUUCAU